AGUAAAAGUCGUAACAAGGUUUCUGUAGGUGAACCUGCAGAAGGAUCAUUAUUUAUAAAAAUGGAGUGCACUUUAUUGUGGCUCUGAACCUUUUAUAUAAUCUUACCCCAAAACUUGUUUGUGUGGCAUCUUUUUAGGUGUCAUUGCACUCAGGUACACGUAACAGUUAUGUUACAUUACCCCCCCACCCCAAACCUUUUUUUAUUUUUAUAAACCCAAGUUUGAAUUAAGAAUGUAAAAUUUUAAUAUUAAUUAAAAUAACUUUUAACAAUGGAUCUCUAGGCUCUCAUAUCGAUGAAGAACACAGUGAAAUGUGAUAAGUAAUGUGAAUUGCAGAAUUCAGUGAAUCAUUGAAUCUUUGAACGCACCUUGCACCUUUUGGUAUUCCAAAAGGUACACCUGUUUGAGUGUCAUGAAAAUCUCUCAUCAAAUUAAUUUUUGGUGGAUGUUGAGUGCUGCUGUUAUCUAGCUCACUUUAAAUAUAUAAGUCUUUUUAUCUUUUGUUGGAUUGACUUGGUGUAAUAUUUUGAUCAUCAAGGAAAGUAGCAAUACUUGCCAGCACUAUGGGAAAAGGACUCCUAAAUUGAUUAAUUUUAUUUUAUUUUUAAGACCUCAAAUCAGGUGGGACUACCUGCUGAACUUAAGCAUAUCAAUAAGCAGAGGAAAAGAAACUAACAAGGAUUCCCCUAGUAAUGGCGAAUGAAACGGGAAAA
rnacentral:rRNA from 1 species